GCUCCCCAUCCCAGGGCUUCACCCUUCCUCAUGGAACUGCACUCCAGAUUCACUGAAGCAGCCCCAGCUCCACAUUUUGCUUCUCCCUCACUGCCCUGUGAGUAGGUGCCAUUCAAAGUCCCUUCAAUAAUGGGAAAAAUAAUCCCAUAAACCUCACUGGAGUGAAGUACGAGUGACGAUAUGGAAUGAAGAUCUGAUGGUGAAGUUUCAGGAGCUGAGUUCCUGAGUACAGACCUUAGCAUCUCUGCAAGAAGACUGACACCAGC